AGAGUUUGAUCCUGGCUCAGAACGAACGCUGGCGGCGUGCUUAACACAUGCAAGUCGAACGAGAGGAGAAGGAAGCUUGCUUCUUUCAAAUCUAGUGGCAAACGGGUGAGUAACACGUAAACAACCUGCCUUCAGGAUGGGGACAACAGACGGAAACGACUGCUAAUACCGAAUACGUUCCUUAGGUCGCAUGACUUUAGGAAGAAAGGGUGGCCUCUACUUGUAAGCUAUCGCCUGAAGAGGGGUUUGCGUCUGAUUAGGUAGUUGGUGAGGUAACGGCCCACCAAGCCGACGAUCAGUAGCCGGUCUGAGAGGAUGAACGGCCACACUGGAACUGAGACACGGUCCAGACUCCUACGGGAGGCAGCAGUGGGGAAUCUUCCGCAAUGGGCGAAAGCCUGACGGAGCAACGCCGCGUGAGUGAUGACGGCCUUCGGGUUGUAAAGCUCUGUGAUCGGGGACGAACGGUCAGCAGACGAAUACUCUGCUGAAGUGACGGUACCCGAAUAGCAAGCCACGGCUAACUACGUGCCAGCAGCCGCGGUAAUACGUAGGUGGCAAGCGUUGUCCGGAAUUAUUGGGCGUAAAGCGCGCGCAGGCGGCUUCUUAAGUCCAUCUUAAAAGUGCGGGGCUUAACCCCGUGAUGGGAUGGAAACUGAGAGGCUGGAGUAUCGGAGAGGAAAGUGGAAUUCCUAGUGUAAGCGGUGAAAUGCGUAGAGAUUAGGAAGAACACCGGUUGGCAAAGGCGACUUUUUUGGACGACAACUUGACGCUUAAGGCGCCGAAAGCGUGGGGGAGCAAACAAGGAUUAGAUACCCUUGGUAGUCCACGCCCGUAAACGAUGAAUACUAAGGUUGUAAGGAGGUAUCGGACCCCUUUCUUGUGCCCGGAGCUAACCCCAAUAAAGUAUUCCCGCCUGGGGAAAUACCGAUCCGCAAGAUUAAAACUUCAAAGGGAAUUUGACCGGGGGCCCCGCCAAACCGGUGGGAAAUUAUUGUGGGUUUUAAUUUCUGACCCCAACCCCGGAAGAAACCUUUACCAAAGUUCUUUGACAAUUUGAUCCGCUAUUCCAAGAAAUUGGAAGUUCCUCUUCGGAGGACGAGAAAACAGGUGGUGCACGGCUGUCGUCAGCUCGUGUCGUGAGAUGUUGGGUUAAGUCCCGCAACGAGCGCAACCCCUAUCUUAUGUUACCAGCACGUUAUGGUGGGGACUCAUGAGAGACCGCCGCGGACAACGCGGAGGAAGGUGGGGAUGACGUCAAGUCAUCAUGCCCCUUAUGACCUGGGCUACACACGUACUACAAUGGGUGUCAACAAAGAGAAGCGAAGCCGCGAGGCAGAGCAAACCUCAAAAACACACCCCCAGUUCAGAUUGCAGGCUGCAACCCGCCUGCAUGAAGUAGGGAUCGCUAGUAAUCGCGGGUCAGCAUACCGCGGUGAAUACGUUCCCGGGCCUUGUACACACCGCCCGUC
rnacentral:rRNA from 1 species